rnacentral:rRNA from 1 species
UACGGGGGGGGCAAGCGUUGUUCGGAAUUACUGGGCGUAAAGGGCUCGUAGGUGGCCAACUAAGUCAGACGUGAAAUCCCUCGGCUUAACCGGGGAACUGCGUCUGAUACUGGAUGGCUAGAGAUUGGGAGAGGGAUGCGGAAUUCCAGGUGUAGCGGUGAAAUGCGUAGAUAUCUGGAGGAACACCGGCGGCGAAGGCGGCAUCCUGGACCAACACUGACGCUGAGGAGCGAAAGCCAGGGGAGCAAACGGG